rnacentral:rRNA from 1 species
CAGCAGCCGCGGGAAUACGAAGGGGGCUAGCGUUGUUCGGAAUUACUGGGCGUAAAGCGCGCGUAGGUGGUUCGCCAAGUUGGAUGUGAAAUCCCCGGGCUCAACCUGGGAACUGCAUCCAAAACUGGCGAGCUAGAGUAUGGUAGAGGGUGGUGGAAUUUCCUGUGUAGCGGUGAAAUGCGUAGAUAUAGGAAGGAACAUCAGUGGCGAAGGCGACCACCUGGACUGAUACUGACACUGAGGUGCGAAAGCGUGGGGAGCAAACAGGAUUAGAUACCCCUGUAGUCCCUGUCUCUUAUAA